rnacentral:ncRNA from 1 species
GAUAAGCCCUGGACAAUGUCGUAGACUUAUCCGUGCCCUCAAUUAGAGAGCUCUGUGAAUGUAACACAUCCCCAAAUUUGCUAGCAUCUGUUCAUUCAAAUUUCUGCCCUAUCAAUUUUCGAUGGUAGGAUAGUGGCUUACCAUGGUGGCAAGGGGUAACGAGGAAUUAGGGUUCGAUUCCGGAGGGAGAGCCUGAGAAACGGCUCACCACAUCCAAGGAAGACAGCAGGCGCGCAAAUUACCCAAUCCCGACACUGGGAGGUUG